rnacentral:rRNA from 1 species
UGGGGAAUCUUGCGCAAUGGGCGAAAGCCUGACGCAGCAACGCCGCGUGGGGGAUGAAGGCUCUCGGGUUGUAAACCCCUUUCAGUGGGAACGAAAACAGACGGUACCCACAGAAGAAGCCCCGGCCAACUACGUGCCAGCAGCCGCGGUGAUACGUAGGGGGCGAGCGUUGUCCGGAUUUAUUGGGCGUAAAGAGCUCGUAGGCGGCUUGGCAAGUCGGGUGUGAAACCUCCAGGCUCAACCUGGAGCCGCCACUCGAUACUUCCAUGGCUAGAGUCCGGUAGGGGACCACGGAAUUCCUGGUGUAGCGGUGAAAUGCGCAGAUAUCAGGAGGAACACCGGUGGCGAAGGCGGUGGUCUGGGCCGGCACUGACGCUGAGGAGCGAAAGCGUGGGGAGCGAACAGGAUUAGAUACCCGCGUAGUCC